GUAGUCAUAUGCUUGUCUCAAAGAUUAAGCCAUGCAUGUCUAAGUAUAAGCAAUAUAUACAGUGAAACUGCGAAUGGCUCAUUAAAUCAGUUAUCGUUUAUUUGAUAGUACCUUACUACUUGGAUAACCGUGGUAAUUCUAGAGCUAAUACGUGCUAACAAUCCCGACCUCUGGAAGGGAUGUAUUUAUUAGAUAAAAAACCAAUGUCUUCGGACUCAGUGGUGAUUCAUAAUAACUUUACGAAUCGCAUGGCCUUGAGCCGGCGAUGGAUCAUUCAAAUUUCUGCCCUAUCAACUUUCGAUGGUAGGAUAGUGGCCUACCAUGGUUUCAACGGGUAACGGGGAAU
rnacentral:rRNA from 1 species